UGGCGUCUGGUGGACACCCCGUCGGGCUUCAUUCCCGAGCAGGAUCAAGGCUUCCUGAUCGGCGUGGUGCAACUGCCCGCGGGCGCCUC
rnacentral:tRNA from 1 species